rnacentral:rRNA from 1 species
GCGGCGUAAGGGAGAGUAAUGAGUGGAUUACCUACCCCCAGGACCGGGAUAGCUGCGGGAAACUGCAGGUAAUACCGGAUAAUAUCUCCGGAUCAAAUGGUGAGAUUCCGCCAGGGGAUGGGUCCGCUUCCUAUUAGCUUGUUGGUGGGGUAACGGCCUACCAAGGCAACAAUGGGUACCGGGUGUGAGAGCAUGGCCCGGCUCACUGGGACUGAGACACGGCCCAGACACCUACGGGUGGCUGCAGUCGAGAAUCUUCCGCAAUGGGCGAAAGCCUGACGGAGCGACGCCGCGUGCGGGAUGAAGGCCUUCGGGUUGUAAACCGCUGUCAGUAGGGAGGAAAUCUAUGGGGGUUAUCCUUCAUAGUUGACCUAUCUUCAGAGAAAGGACGGGCUAAGUUCGUGCCAGCAGCCGCGGUAAGACGAACCGUCCAAACGUUAUUCGGAAUUACUGGGCUUAAAGGGUGCGUAGGCGGCUUGGCAAGUUGGGUGUGAAAUCCCUCGGCUCAACCGAGGAACUGCGCUCAAAACUGCCAAGCUAGAGGAAGAUAGAGGUGAGCGGAACUAAUGGUGGAGCGGUGAAAUGCGUUGAUAUCAUUAGGAACACCUGUGGCGAAAGCGGCUCACUGGGUCUUUUCUGACGCUGAGGCACGAAAGCUAGGGUAGCGAACGGGAUUAGAUACCCCGGUAGUCCUAGCCGUAAACGAUGAGCACUAGG